CCUACGGCGGACAGCAGUGGGGAAUAUUGGGCAAUGGGCGCAAGCCUGACCCAGCAACGCCGCGUGAAGGAAGAAGGCUUUCGGGUUGUAAACUUCUUUUGACAGGGAAGAGCAGAAGACGGUACCUGUCGAAUAAGCCACGGCUAACUACGUUCCAGCAGCCGCGGUAAUACGUAGGUGGCAAGCGUUGUCCGGCUUUACUGGGUGUAAAGGGCGUGUAGCCGGGCUGGCAAGUCAGAUGUGAAAGCCGGGGGCUCAACCCCCGAAAUGCAUUUGGAACUGUUGGUCUUGAGUAUCGGAGAGGCAGGCGGAAUUCCUGGGGUAGCGGUGAAAUGCGUAGAUAUUAGGAGGAACACCAGUGGCGAAGGCGGCCUGCUGGACGACAACUGACGGUGAGGCGCGAAAGCGUGGGGAGCAAACAGGAUUAGAUACCCUUGUAGUC
rnacentral:rRNA from 1 species